rnacentral:rRNA from 1 species
GAUGAACGCUGACAGAAUGCUUAACACAUGCAAGUCAACUUGAAUUUGGGUUUUUAACUUAGGUUUGGGUGGCGGACGGGUGAGUAACGCGUAAAGAACUUGCCUCACAGCUAGGGACAACAUUUGGAAACGAAUGCUAAUACCUAAUAUUAUGAUAAUAGGUCAUCCUAUAAUUAUGAAAGCUAUAAGCGCUGUGAGAGAGCUUUGCGUCCCAUUAGCUAGUUGGAGAGGUAACGGCUCACCAAGGCGAUGAUGGGUAGCCGGCCUGAGAGGGUGAUCGGCCACAAGGGGACUGAGACACGGCCCUUACUCCUACGGGAGGCAGCAGUGGGGAAUAUUGGACAAUGGACCGAGAGUCUGAUCCAGCAAUUCUGUGUGCACGAUGAAGUUUUUCGGAAUGUAAAGUGCUUUCAGUUGGGAAGAAACAAAUGACGGUACCAACAGAAGAAGUGACGGCUAAAUACGUG